AUUGGUUCUGGUUUCUCGGGCGCUCUCUCGCAUAGUGUUGUGCACUACCACAUAUGCAACAGGUGUUGUUGAGGCGGUAGCAUGGUCGAUCCCCGUGAUCCUUGCCACAGUGCUGGCAAAUCUUUCCAUGUGCUGCCCCUGGAGCCUGAGGAGGGGCCUAGAUCACUGGUCUGGGCCUCUUAUUUGGUUAGACCGGCGUAGUAGGUGCUGGUCUGCGGGGUGGAGCUGAGGGUCGGUGACUCCCUGCUGACUGAGGACGGGUGUUGAAACUCCUCUCCACAAUCUGUGCCUUUACUAGAACGGCUGAGUAUGUCUUGAACUCCAGUACCAAUAAGUGUUGCUUGAUUUCUGGGCGGAGGCCCCACUGGAAUCUCCUGGCCUUCCUGCCUUCAUCCAUUAAUGUCUCCGGGGAGUAUCGGCCCAGCUCUAGGAACUUACGAGCAUAUUCCGAUACCAUCAUGUUUCUCUGGACAAGCUGAACAAACUCCAUCUCCUUCAGGUGUCGGAUGUGCUCAAUGAGAUAUUCUGCAUAG
rnacentral:lncRNA from 1 species